AACGAACGCUAUCGGUAUGCUUAACACAUGCAAGUCGGACGGACUAAUUAGGGCCUGCUCCAAUUAGUUAGUGGCAGACGGGUGAGUAACACGUGGGAAUCUGCCCAUCAGUACGGAAUAACUUUUAGAAAUAAAAGCUAAUACCGUAUAUUCUCUACAGAGGAAAGAUUUAUCGCUGAUGGAUGAGCCCGCGUCAGAUUAGGUAGUUGGUGAGGUAACGGCUCACCAAGCCGACGAUCUGUAGCUGGUCUGAGAGGAUGAUCAGCCACACUGGGACUGAGACACGGCCCAGACUCCUACGGGAGGCAGCAGUGGGGAAUAUUGGACAAUGGGCGAAAGCCUGAUCCAGCAAUACCGAGUGAGUGAUAAAGGCCCUAGGGUUGUAAAGCUCUUUUAGCAAGGAAGAUAAUGACGUUACUUGCAGAAAAAGCCCCGGCUAACUCCGUG
rnacentral:rRNA from 1 species